UACGUAGGGGGCAAGCGUUGUCCGGAAUUAUUGGGCGUAAAGAGCGCGUAGGCGGUCUGAUAAGUCAUACGUGAAAUCCCUCAGCUUAACUGGGGAACUGCGUGUGAUACUGGAUGGCUUGGAUUUGGGAGAGGGAUGCGGAAUUCCAGGUGUAGCGGUGAAAUGCGUAGAUAUCUGGAGGAACACCGGUGGCGAAGGCGGCAUCCUGGACCAAUAUUGACGCUGAGGAGCGAAAGCUAGGGGAGCAAACGGG
rnacentral:rRNA from 1 species